GAGGGUACCCAGAGCUAAGCGCUGCCAGCAUCCUGCAGCCGGAGGACGCAUCUGGCAAGAAGGAGAGCCACUAUUUGGCCACCGAGCACCGCUGCUGGAAACCGUUCCUGCUUGAUUCCACCAGCCAUCUCCGUCCACCACCUGGCAAGAGCUGUGCACAAGAGGCUUGGCUCUUAGAGGUGGGGUCAGCCACUUCCUCGGGACUAAAUCUAGCCCGGAGGGCCCCAAACCUUCUGGGGGCCGCCAGCAAUCCUUAGCUGACAGCUGCGUGAUUCCGAUCUCCACCUCCUUCACGCGGCCGUCUCUGUGUUUCGUCUCUGCUCUUCUGUCAUUGGAUUUAUGGCCCACUUGGUUAAUCUGGAAUGUUUUCAUCUCGAAAUCCUUAACCUAAUUACAUCU